GCCGCUCGCCCUUCGGGCGUUUCCUCCCAAGACUGGGCCGCCGUUGUGACGGCCCUUUUUUUUGCCCGAA
rnacentral:sRNA from 1 species